GAAAACAGGUUGAAAACCAGCAGAGGCUGCUGGGGAUCAAACCGGGGACCCUGCAGCACGGCCCGUCUGUCCUCUGUCCUCACAUGAAGACAGAGACUGAGAGACGGCCUCAGCAGCUCAGGAGAGAAACCACAGAGCAGAGGAAGAGGGCGGGCUUCAAUGACUGUGUUGAACAGCGGCCAGCAGGCUGACUGUGAGAGCGGACACCAUGGAGGACAGACGUCUGCUGGCUCUGACCUCUCUGAUCAUCUACACAGCAACGCUUCCAGGUCAGUCUGCUUCCUCCUCCUCUCUCUGCAGCUCUCAGCGUCUCUCAGGUCAGAAAACUCUCGUCCCAGUCCGACCUGGAACGGAUCGUUCAGGCUUUGAUUUCAUCAUGAAGUGAUUACUGUGAUUCUGCUUUUCACUUUUUUCAUCAUGGCUGCUCUUAACGACCUUCAAAUGAUACAAAACUCUGGAGCCAGAAGUCUGACAGGUUCACCGAGAACGUCCCUCAUUACCUCGUUCUCUCUCUGGUCGUCACUGGCUUCCUGCUGAACCUCGGAUUGAUUUUAAAUUUCAGUUCUCGUCGUGUUCUGAGUGUUCCAUGGUGAGAACCUCCAGUCCAUUAGAGUCCUCACAGAGAACCCUUCAGUCCUGAAGGUCCCAAAGACGUGGUUUAAAACCCUGGAGACUGAUCCUUUCAGGUUUUUGGUUUAAAACCCGUUUGUUGUCUUGUCCUCUGAGAAUGACCACAGCACUUCCUCUAAUUUAUGGUGUUUUUCAAUUGUUGUCCCUCUCCUGGUGUUUCUGUAGAAAAUGUCUUAGUUGUAAGAAUUUAUAAAUGUCAUGUGCUGGGAGGUUACAUUCUCUUUGAAGUUGUGACGAACAUAUAUUAGUUCUUUGUCCGUCUGGUAAAUCCUGAGUCCAUGAUAGACCAUAAUUUCCUCUCUGUUGAGACAGAAAAAUUGUGAGUGUUUUGACUGAAACAUGAUUUUCCUGCAUGGACUCCAGGUGAGAGCAGCCACAGCUGAUUGUAGCUGCAGGAUAAAGAGGGUGUGUCCACUGCAGUGAGAGAGAGAGAGAGAGAGAGAGAGAGAGAGAGAGAGAGAGAGAGAGAGAGAGCAACAAUGCAAAACAACAUUACGUUUUAUUCUAACACUUAAUUUCUACUUUUAUCAUAUUUCCCUCAACAUUAUUUUCCUCCACAUGAGCAACAUCCAUCGAUUCUGAUCCAUGAUUUGGGAUUUUAUGAACAGAUUUCUAACAGUUUUUAGACGUUGAAUGAAACCCAAAAACCUCCAGUGUUAGAAGAAGUUCCACUUCAUGCAGUCAAACGCCUUUUGAGCAUCGAGGCGAAGCAGCCUGGGAGGCUGACGGUUAUUUUAGGUGAUAUAAGAUUUAAUGCUCUCCUGGUGUCGUGAGCCGCUGGUCUCCAGGAGAUGAACAGUUUGAUUUCUUUGCUUCUUAAUGAGCCGUCUGAGGAAAUGAGGGGUGGAACAUGGCAGGUCUCAGACUUUCGUGACACUGGGUUCAUUGACUUUAAAUACAUUGAAGGAAUGGGGUAGAGUCAUUUUUGGUCAAAAAAUAGUUUUACAGAUUGAAAUGGCUCUUUCAAAAUAAGGGCUGAGAAACGUCUCCCGUUGGAUUCCAUGUUAAACUGAGAUAUUCUGAACUUCCUGUUCUCACAGCGCAGCAUCAAAGGUGAAGAUUUUACAAAACAUUCUUGUCAUGUGAUUACUCAACUUUCUAAAUUAAGACGCCGUUCAGUGAAACACUUCCUCUAUUUUUUUUCUACAAUUGGAAAUGUAACGCCAUGUUUGGCACCAUCUUAAUGGAUAAACUGCUCCUGGCCGAGAUGGAAAUUCUGGGAUGUAAUUUAAUGUAAACCUGAUGAAAAACAAAUUUUAUUCCAGAACAGAGAAUUCAUUGAUUAGAAGUUUGAUAAUUCUACUUCAUAAUCUCUGUAUGUUCGUCAGUAAAUUCAAGAUGGCGUCCAAAAUGGCCGCCAAAUGUAUUUUUUGCUACAAUCUGACUCCAGUUCCUCAGUGAUUGAUCAUAUAAUAGCUCUAUGUGACCAGGUUCAUUACUUUUUAUCAUGAGUUUGUUUUUUUUACCUGUCCUGUCCAGCAUGGAGGCAGCAGAAUGGGAGUCUGGCUGCUGUUAUGUUCCCGACAGAUUUGCUUUUUCAAGAGGUGCUGGAUUCAAAUAUAGUUGGGUUUUGAAAUCACUUUCAAGAUAAAGUGGUGAUUCAGGACAGAAUCCAAGAUGAACGCCAAACGUACUUUUCCUUGUAUUUUUGACCACAAGUGUCCCGAUUGUCCAGAUUUCUGUUUUGUGGGUCACAGAAUGCUCUGGAACUAUUCCAAGUCUCUUGUUUGAGUGAAUACCAAUAUUACCAGAAUGCUUUGUAAAAUCUUCACCCUCUGCACUACGCUGUGAGAACUGGAGGUUCAGAAUACCUCAAUUUGGCAUGGAAUCCAAUGGGAGAUGUUUCCCAUUGGUCUUAUUUUGAAAGAGCCAUUUUAUCCCCAAAACUAUCUUUUCAGCAAAAAUGAGUCACUGUUUCCAUUUUUAGAAUUUUCUGCAAAGGAAGCUGUUUCAGGGACAAGACUUAAAAUGCAUUGACUGCAUGAAGUGAACAGAACAGAGUGACGUUAUUGAUGAUAUGAAGGUUCACAGACGUUCCAGACAGAUGAAGAUGUUCCUCUCUCAGCAGCUCUGGUCCCUGUUUCAGCGUUCUCAGCAGGACUGACUGUGAGUCCCAGCAGGUCUCAGUUCCUUCAAGGAGACUCAGUGUCUCUGAGCUGUGAGGAGGACGGCUGGACAGUGUGGAGGAAGACCAGCAGCAGACAGAGGAGUUCAUGUGGAGACGGGUAGGGAAAACCUGCUGGUUCCUCCUGUAACUUCUCAGGAAUUUACCCCAGAGACAGUGGAGUUUACUGGUGUGAGUCCAGAGAGGGAGCAGCUGGAAGCAGCAUCAACAUCACUGUAGCUGAUACAGUGGUCCUCCAGAGUCCAGUCCUCCCUGUGAUGGAGGGACAGGACGUCACUCUGGGUUGUAGAACCAGCGCUCCCUCCACCCUCUCAGCUGAGUUCUUUAAAGACGGCGUCUCCAUCGGGACCGAGUCCACAGGUCACAUGACCCUCCGCCAUGUUUCCCGCUCUGCUGAAGGCCUCUACAGGUGUAGCUUCAGAGGUGUUGGAGAGUCUCCACCCAGCUGGAUCUCUGUCUCAGGGAACCACAAGACAGAUCCUCCUCCUGGUUCCUCCUCUGAUCCUCCUCCUGGUUCCUCCUCUGAUCCUCCUCCUGGUUCCUCCUCCCGUCUCCUCCCUGUGUGGAUCUCCCUCUCCUCUCUCGUUGUGGUUCUCCUGCUGGUUCUCCUGCUGGUCCGGUUCUGCAGCAGGAACCCUGAAGGCUCGGCAGCAGAACCUGAAGUCACCUACAGCGACGUCAACAUCCUGCAGCGUCAGCAGCAGCCGGUCAGACGGAGCAGAGAUGUGGAUCCAGUGUUUUCAGAAGUCACUUUCAGACGUUUCUCAAGAAAAUCGUCAAAGAGAAACGAAGCCGAGCGGAGAAGUCAGAGAUUCCUCCAGAGCCUGACGUGGUCUACUCCUCCCUGAGGUGACCCCCCAGUCCAGACCCAUCCGGACCCAGACCUCCACACUGCUGAGUUCUACUGAGUUCUGCUGAGUUCAGACUGGAUUCUCUUGAGUUUUAAUUGAGUUUGAACUGGUUUUUAUUAAGUUUUAUUUGACUUUGAUCAUGUUUUUUUAUUCAUUUUAUUCAGUUUUAACAGGUUUUCAUUGAGUUUUAUUCAGUUUUCUUCUCUGUCGUCUCUCUGGUGGUUAAACAGUCACUCCUCAUAUUAAAUAACCAAAAAUGGCUUUUUUAUUCAGUAUAAUUUGCUUUCUUCUGUUUUCUGGAAGUUUUUCACUCUUGCUGCUCAAACUGCUGUGCUUUUUAUUUCUAAUGUUUUCUGACUUCAUUUUCAACCAGUUUCUGUGUUCCACUGGUUUUAGGCUGAUUACCUGUUUCUUCACUGGUUUUGUAGGAAAUCCAGAUAAAAGCUGAGAAACAUGUUCAGAGAUCAGGAGGAUUUGAACUGAAGCUUCUGUUGCUGAAGAAUAAACGUUGGUCUCAGA